CGCCUUGAAGAUCGGUGAAGGCGGGCAGCGUGGGUAAUAGUUGUACCCUCCCGUGGGGCCCACAGAGGUGCGCACACAAGCAUGUGGAACAAGUAUCCUAGAUUGACCUGCCAGCAAACUUUGCAACUAAUGACUUCCCUGGAUUUCAUCUAAAAGAUGAAGACAGACCUUCAAUCUAAAAGAUCUUUGGAUUACAAGCAGAGACACACAGCUCCAGUCCUUGCAGAUGAAGGUUUUUAUUAUGAUGCAAAGACUUUCCUUUAGCCCUGUGUAAUGGGGCAUGCCCUUAGUCCCAGUCCACAGGAAGCAAAGGCUUGACACAUUUAUGUAAGGUUCAGGCCAACCUGGUCCAACCUGGUCUUCUGCCUGUCUUUUUUUUUUUUUUUUUUUUUUUUGUUUUGUUUUUUUGGUUUUUUGGAUUUUUUUUUUUCCAGACAGGGUUUCUCUGUGUAGCCCUGGCUGUCCUGGAACUCACUCUGUAGACCAGGCUGACCUCAAACUCAGAAAUCCGCCUGCCUCUGCCUCCCAGAGUGCUGGGAUUACACGCGUGCGCCACCACCGCCUGGCAUCUUCUACCUGUCUUGACCAUAGGCUCUGAACAUAUCUGUCACUUCUUUUGACCCUGUCCAGUGGGUCUCAUGCUUCAGAGGUGGAGAACAGCAGCUCAGGUGGCUGGCCAGACCCCAUUCAUCGUAUACCCCAUUCUUCUUUCACUGAGACUUUUCAGUUCCCCAAAAUGUAGCCCAGAUCCUUAUCCAUUCCUUCCAAUUUUGCUCUCACUGAUAAAAUAGUUAAGUAGACUUCUUAGAAGACUUAUAGAGCAAACCAAUUGCAUUAAAGUUUACUACCAAAAUGUUUCCUUUAAAUUGUGACACGAGUUGUACAUUUUAAGCUGUGUGAUGGUUCAUGUCUAUAAUCUCAGCACUAAGGAGGCUGAGGCAGGAGAAUAAGCUCAAGGCCAGUCCAGAUUGUCUCAAGGAGUGGUGGUGGUACAUUCUUCAAGUGAGGUAUAACCAGCUCUGUAUCUAUUCUUUAUAACAUUUGAGUGUCCUUGUCCUUAUUGUGUAUUUAUUUUUGAGAAAAGUCUCACUCUAAAUCCCUGGCUGUCCUGGAAUUUGCUAUGUGGCUCAGGCUGCCCUGGAACUCAAUAGAGAUCUUUUUACCUCUGUCUCCCCAUUACUGGCACUAAAGGCAUGCACCAUAA